AAAAAAAAAAAAAAAAAAAAAAACUUGACCUGUUGGGUACCCUGAUGUGGUUAUUAUGCAUUGCAUGCCUGUAUCAAGAUAUCUCAUGUAAUCUCAUGUACACCGUAAAUAUAUACACCUAGUAUGUACCCACAAAAAUUAAAUUUUUAAAAAAUGGCAAGGAGGGCCAGGUAGGGUGGCUCAGGCCUGUAAUCCUAGCAAUUUGGGAGGCUAUCGCUUGAGCUCAGGGGUUCAAGGCCAGCCUAGCAGCCUGAGCAACACAGCAAGACCCAGUCUCUGCAAAACACAAAACAAGAAGAAGAAAGUCAAGUCUGUCCCCAGUUCAGCGGCUCACGUCUGACUUCUCUCCUUGGCCUCAUGCCCAGGGCACCUUCCUGAAUCCCAGAGGUGAGCAAAACUCCACCUCCACAACCCCAGGGCACCCCAUUGCCACCACCCCUCAGCCUUGGAAAUGGAGUCACCAGGCAUGAAGUUUAGAUGUGCACAACCUGGCACCGAGUCCCUACGGUGGGACCAUGCCCGCAGCGGCAGUGUGGAAGAUGGGACAGACACAGCGAAAUGCCUCCAGGGCGUGGUGGGAGGGGCCGGAACAGGGAGAUGGCGCGUGAGUAGCAUCUGUUCUUACAGCAAAACCUGUAAAAGUAAAAUAUACGUAGGUUUGUCACUAAAGACGUGUCUGCAUAAAUACACCCACGCCGAAGACUGUUCUGAUCACCUUUUUAUAUAAUUACCGUGUGUCCUUGUGGCUGUGUGGGUGGCUGUGUGUGUCUGUGCAAAGGUGUGCCUGUGUGCAUCUGUCUGUCUGCAGAGGUAUCUGUGUGUGUUUGUGUGUGAGUGGAGGUUCUGGAGAAGGCCUGGAAGGAUCCUGUCAAACUGGAGGGGGGCUGCGGGAUGAGGAUUUUUCUUUUAAUGCAUCUGCCCAGUUUGAGUUUUACGAAUGUUAAUCAUUUAAAGGCAGAAAAGAUAUCUUUGGGGGUUUUGGGUUUUUGUUUUUUGUUUGGG
rnacentral:lncRNA from 10 species